rnacentral:rRNA from 1 species
UAAUACGGAGGGGGCAAGCGUUGUUCGGAUUUAUUGGGCGUAAAGCGCGUGUAGGCGGUACGGUAAGUCGGAUGUUAAAGACCCACGGCUCACCCGGGGGAGUGCGUUCGAUACUGCCGUGCUAGAGUGCAGGAGAGGAAAGUGGAAUUCCUGGUGUAGCGGUGAAAUGCGUAGAUAUCAGGAGGAACACCGGUGGCGAAGGCGGCUUUCUGGCCUGUAACUGACGCUGAGACGCGAAAGCAUGGGGAGCGAACGGG